AUUAACGCUAGCGGCAGGCAUAAUACAUGCAAGUUGAACGGCAGCACAGGUAGCAAUACUGGGUGGCGAGUGGCGCACGGGUGCGUAAUACGUAUGCAACCUACCCUAUACAGGCGAAUAACCUUUAGAAAUGAGGGCUAAUACGCCGUAGUAUUACAGAUGGGCAUCUAUUUGUAAUUAAAGAUUUAUCGGUAUAGGAUGGGCAUGCGUCCCAUUAGUUAGUUGGUAAGGUAACGGCUUACCAAGACGAUGAUGGGUAGGGG
rnacentral:rRNA from 1 species